GACGGAGGAUGCAAGCGUUAUCCGGAAUGAUUGGGCGUAAAGCGUCUGCAGGUGGCCGUUCAAGUCUGCUGUCAAAGACCGGGGCUUAACUUCGGAAAGGCAGUGGAAACUGAACAGCUAGAGUAUGGUAGGGGCAGAGGGAAUUCCUGGUGUAGCGGUGAAAUGCGUAGAGAUCAGGAAGAACACCGGUGGCGAAGGCGCUCUGCUAGGCCGCAACUGACACUGAGGGACGAAAGCUAGGGGAGCGAAUGGG
rnacentral:rRNA from 1 species